ACGGGUGAGUAACACGUGGAUAACCUACCUAUAAGACUGGGAUAACUUCGGGAAACCGGAGCUAAUACCGGAUAAUAUAUUGAACCGCAUGGUUCAAUAGUGAAAGACGGUUUUGCUGUCACUUAUAGAUGGAUCCGCGCCGCAUUAGCUAGUUGGUAAGGUAACGGCUUACCAAGGCAGCGAUGCGUAGCCGACCUGAGAGGGUGAUCGGCCACACUGGAACUGAGACACGGUCCAGACUCCUACGGGAGGCAGCAGUU
rnacentral:rRNA from 1 species